UGUGAGAUUCGACAAAAUAAUUAAUAUAAAAUAAUGGGUGUUUUAUGAAAGAAGUUUUGCCUAUGGAAAUUUAUGAAUAAUUUCAUAGAUUUAAAUUGAAAUUGGUCGGGAUAUUAUGAGGGAUUGAAACUUAGUUUAGGAGUUGGAUUUGAUCCAUUAAUCAAGGUUUGCAAUUAACUUAAACCUAGGGCUGUGAUUAAUUAAGCCUAAGUUUGGGAUUAAUGAAACCUAGUAUAAAUACCUAAUGGGUACUGUUCCCUUUCAAUUCUCGCGAUCUUGAACUCCUCUUCUCGCAAUUCUUCGUCGACGCCCCUCCUUUUUGCCCUUCCACGCCGGCGCCACCUUGUUGGGACGAGGGUGCUAUCGAUGGCACAAUCACUUGCUGAUUAGGGCUUUUGAUGAGGGCUGUUGGGUUGAAGGUUCGAAUCGUACCGAAGAUGAGAUUUAUCCUUCAAAUUGCAAGGAAGACAAGUAUUUUCUUCCCUUAAAGGUGUAGGAACCAAAGAGGUGAUAGAGGACGUGGAGGUGGAGUAACUGAGGAGAUGAGAUGGAAUGCAUAGCACACUGUCCAAGGGAAUUAAGAGUAUGUUAAUAAAUGUAGUCUUUUGAUUGUUAUGUGGAUAUGAGUUGUAGACUAUUCGUUUUAUGUUUUCAUAUUUUGUCAUUGGAAGCUUAAGAAAUUUUCAUUCAAAAUAUAUAUGUUGAGAAUUAAAGUUUACAUGUGAUGAAGUUUUCUUUAGACCUAAA